rnacentral:lncRNA from 1 species
CUCGUGGUAGGGGACCGAAGGCCGCUGGCUCUGGGCUGCCUUCGCGGCUCUCUGACUCGUACCGGUGUCCCUCUGCUGCUCAGGCCUCCCUUUCGGCGCGGUACGGUCUCAUGGUUUGGGAUGGUCUCCUCAGACGGGGCGGUUGAACAGGGUAUGCUCUGCGAUGAAAUGUUUUGUGAAGUAAUCUAUUGUGUAGACCGUUUGCCCGGAAAAUAGGAGAACCAAUGAUAGUUUGGAAGAUAAAUAGACCUGAGCGCACUGGCUGAUAGGAUUGCUGUUUGUUCCUGGUUUACCUGCAGUGGGGAGAUAUUAGGAGGAAUAGGAAAGCGGUUCUGUAGGUAAGAAACAAGGAAAAGUUUUGUUGCUCAGAUAAGAGCAGCAAGUAUAAUUUCUUUUUCAUUUUUUUACAAUGUGUUUGUUCUCUGCUAAGAGUGAACCUCACACUUUUGGGUUUUAGCAGCUAUUUUGUUUAUUGACUUUGUCUGUCGGUAAUGUAGUUUUUGCAUUAAUAUUUUCAUGAGCAUGCUCUUGACGUUUUUAUUAAACGAUAAUGCAGUAAGACAGUGUUUAUAGAUCUCUGAACUUUAUUUUGUAUUUUUAGUUUAUGAAAAGUGGUUAAAUAUUUCCAAAAGAGUAUCUUAAUAUACAAAUAUACAUACGUUUGUGAAUUGUUAGUAAAAUCAGUACAUCACGACAACUUUUCUAAGGCCUUCAAAAUUUUGAUCUGCCUAAUAGUCACAGGAAUAACAUUAUUUUACAGGAA